rnacentral:misc_RNA from 1 species
AAUUCUCAAAAGAACCUAGGUUUCGAUCAGGGCUCUUUUGGACUGUGAGGGCUGCUGGUCUCUUUAGAUCAGACUCCCUUUAAAUACAUUAGUGGUUACCGAUCCGCUUCCACUUUGGUGUGAUAGGUCUAUCUACGCUGCUUGGAAUGAUCAGUUGCUAUCCGCUUCUAACCUUGUCCGUCUUGGACAAAGCUUUCAUUGACA